rnacentral:rRNA from 1 species
UUAAGCGACUAAGCGUACACGGUGGAUGCCCUGGCAGUCAGAGGCGAUGAAGGACGUGCUAAUCUGCGAUAAGCGUCGGUAAGGUGAUAUGAACCGUUAUAACCGGCGAUUUCCGAAUGGGGAAACCCAGUGUGAUUCGUCACACUAUCAUUAACUGAAUCCAUAGGUUAAUGAGGCGAACCGGGGGAACUGAAACAUCUAAGUACCCCGAGGAAAAGAAAUCAACCGAGAUUCCCCCAGUAGCGGCGAGCGAACGGGGAGCAGCCCAGAGCCUGAAUCAGUGUGUGUGUUAGUGGAAGCGUCUGGAAAGGCGCGCGAUACAGGGUGACAGCCCCGUACACAAAAAUGCACAUGCUGUGAGCUCGAUGAGUAGGGCGGGACACGUGGUAUCCUGUCUGAAUAUGGGGGGACCAUCCUCCAAGGCUAAAUACUCCUGACUGACCGAUAGUGAACCAGUACCGUGAGGGAAAGGCGAAAAGAACCCCGGCGAGGGGAGUGAAAAAGAACCUGAAACCGUGUACGUACAAGCAGUGGGAGCACAGAGCAAUCUGUGUGACUGCGUACCUUUUGUAUAAUGGGUCAGCGACUUAUAUUCUGUAGCAAGGUUAACCGAAUAGGGGAGCCGAAGGGAAACCGAGUCUUAACUGGGCGUUAAGUUGCAGGGUAUAGACCCGAAACCCGGUGAUCUAGCCAUGGGCAGGUUGAAGGUUGGGUAACACUAACUGGAGGACCGAACCGACUAAUGUUGAAAAAUUAGCGGAUGACUUGUGGCUGGGGGUGAAAGGCCAAUCAAACCGGGAGAUAGCUGGUUCUCCCCGAAAGCUAUUUAGGUAGCGCCUCGUGAAUUCAUCUCCGGGGGUAGAGCACUGUUUCGGCAAGGGGGUCAUCCCGACUUACCAACCCGAUGCAAACUGCGAAUACCGGAGAAUGUUAUCACGGGAGACACACGGCGGGUGCUAACGUCCGUCGUGAAGAGGGAAACAACCCAGACCGCCAGCUAAGGUCCCAAAGUCAUGGUUAAGUGGGAAACGAUGUGGGAAGGCCCAGACAGCCAGGAUGUUGGCUUAGAAGCAGCCAUCAUUUAAAGAAAGCGUAAUAGCUCACUGGUCGAGUCGGCCUGCGCGGAAGAUGUAACGGGGCUAAACCAUGCACCGAAGCUGCGGCAGCGACACUAUGUGUUGUUGGGUAGGGGAGCGUUCUGUAAGCCUGUGAAGGUGUACUGUGAGGUAUGCUGGAGGUAUCAGAAGUGCGAAUGCUGACAUAAGUAACGAUAAAGCGGGUGAAAAGCCCGCUCGCCGGAAGACCAAGGGUUCCUGUCCAACGUUAAUCGGGGCAGGGUGAGUCGACCCCUAAGGCGAGGCCGAAAGGCGUAGUCGAUGGGAAACAGGUUAAUAUUCCUGUACUUGGUGUUACUGCGAAGGGGGGACGGAGAAGGCUAUGUUGGCCGGGCGACGGUUGUCCCGGUUUAAGCGUGUAGGCUGGUUUUCCAGGCAAAUCCGGAAAAUCAAGGCUGAGGCGUGAUGACGAGGCACUACGGUGCUGAAGCAACAAAUGCCCUGCUUCCAGGAAAAGCCUCUAAGCAUCAGGUAACAUCAAAUCGUACCCCAAACCGACACAGGUGGUCAGGUAGAGAAUACCAAGGCGCUUGAGAGAACUCGGGUGAAGGAACUAGGCAAAAUGGUGCCGUAACUUCGGGAGAAGGCACGCUGAUAUGUAGGUGAAGCGACUUGCUCGUGGAGCUGAAAUCAGUCGAAGAUACCAGCUGGCUGCAACUGUUUAUUAAAAACACAGCACUGUGCAAACACGAAAGUGGACGUAUACGGUGUGACGCCUGCCCGGUGCCGGAAGGUUAAUUGAUGGGGUCAGCGCAAGCGAAGCUCUUGAUCGAAGCCCCGGUAAACGGCGGCCGUAACUAUAACGGUCCUAAGGUAGCGAAAUUCCUUGUCGGGUAAGUUCCGACCUGC